rnacentral:rRNA from 1 species
AUUGAACGCUGGCGGUAGGCCUAACACAUGCAAGUCGAGCGGCAGCGGGAAAGUAGCUUGCUACUUUUGCCGGCGAGCGGCGGACGGGUGAGUAAUGCCUGGGAAAUUGCCCAGUCGAGGGGGAUAACAGUUGGAAACGACUGCUAAUACCGCAUACGCCCUACGGGGGAAAGCAGGGGACCUUCGGGCCUUGCGCGAUUGGAUAUGCCCAGGUGGGAUUAGCUAGUUGGUGAGGUAAUGGCUCACCAGGGCGACGAUCCCUAGCUGGUCUGAGAGGAUGAUCAGCCACACUGGAACUGAGACACGGUCCAGACUCCUACGGGAGGCAGCAGUGGGGAAUAUUGCACAAUGGGGGAAACCCUGAUGCAGCCAUGCCGCGUGUGUGAAGAAGGCC